CGGCUCCGCCGCCUGCCUGCCGUGCGACCUCGAGCGAGUCACUUCACUUCUCUGGGCCUCAGUUCCCUCCCAUCUGACAAAUGGGGAUGAAGACCGGGAGCCCCACGGGGGACGGGGACCGGGUCCAACCCGAUCAACCCGUCUCUACCCCAGUGGUUAGGACAGCGCCUGGAACCUAGCAGGUGUUUAACCGACACCAUGAAAUAAGUCACUUCUCUGUGCCUCAGUUCCCUCAUCUGUAAAAUGGGGAUUAAGACUGUGAGCCCUACAUGGGACAACCCGAUUCCCCUGUAUCUCCCCCAGCGCUUAGAACAGUGUUGUGCACAGAGUAAGCGCUUUACGAAUACCAACAUUAUUAUUAUUCAUAAUAAACAGCGGUGGUCUAGUGGAUCGAGAGCUGGCUUGGGAGUCAGAAGGCCCUGGGUUCUAAUCCCGGCUCCGCCACUUAUCUGCCGGGUGACCUCGGGUUAGUCACUUGUCAGCUGUGGGACUGUGGGCAAGUCACUUCACUUCUCAGUGCCUCAGUUCCCUCGUCUGGAAAAUGGGGAUGAAGACUGGGAGCCUCACGUGGGACCACCUGAUUCCCCCGUCUCUCCCCGGCGUCCUCUAGAACGGUGCUCGGCCAAUAGUAAGCGCUUAAACCGAUACCAACGUUAUCAUUCUCCCCUGGGCCUCAGUUCCCUCAUCCGGAGAAAGGAGACGAAGACCGCGAGGCCCACGUGGUUCAGGGGCCGUGUCCAACCCGCUCAGCCCCUGCCUAAUUCCGGCGCUCAGGACAGUGCCCGGCCCAUAGCGAGCGCUUACCAGGUACCAUUUAAAAAUGGGGGCGAGGGGGGGGGGGUUCGGGCGGUCCCCGAUCACCGAGAAGACCCUCUCCGGAUGCCCCUUGGCCCUCAUGUUGGUGUCCGUGCACCUGCUUCAGGACCAUCCAAGCUUCGUUCGUGCUUCCCGUUCUGGGGGCGCGGAGACAGCCCUCAACACCCCCGCACCGGCGCCGGAGACCGCGGGGUCGGACGCCGCUGCGCGCCCCCUCCGCCCGUGGGCCCCCCGGCGCCCCCCACCUCGAGGAAGAAGCGGGGCUCUCGGGCUGGGUGGUUGAGGGCGCCGAUGGCGAACACGCGACGGAAAGGCACACACCAAGACGAAGACGCGCCAGCUGUGGAACUGGAACUCGGAGAAAUAGGAGAAGACGAUGGGGAUGGAGCCCCCGAUCCUGGCGGGGAGGAGGAGGAGGAGGGUGUCAGUGGUCAUAGGUCAAGAUCUCAGACAGCUCCCAACGCUGCCAACCCCGGAAGGCUUUCUCCGCUCCCAGGGUCCAGGAUGCUACAUCCCGUCCCCCCCGGCCUGGAGGUGGUCCGGAAAAGGUCGAGAAGUCACCCUGCCCUGCCCACGGUGUCCUGCCCGAGGGUCCAAUGACUACAGUCCGUGCUCCACCUCCGUUCCUUCCGUCAGGUUCCCCUGGGCCGGAGGAGGAAGGGGCCGGAUUCUCCCGGAUGGGAAGGGGUUUCGGGUCGGGCUGCCUCGGGAAGGGAAGGGGCGGGAGUCUGAGGAGGAGCGGGGAGGGGGCGGGGAGAGGAGGGGUCUGCCUAGGGACCGGUGAGGCGGGGGUCUGCAGAGGGGGGUGGGUGCGGGUCUGUAGAAGGGGGGGGCGGUCCGCCCAGGGUCCCGGGGUGGGGGACGGCGGGGCGGGGGGGUCCUGACCCGACGCCGGAGAGCAGGCGGCAGAGCAGGAAGGUGCCGUAGCCCUGGACGAACGAGGAGAAGAAGGCGAAGACCCCGUUGACGGAGAGCGCCAUGAGCAGGCACUGGCGGCGGCCCAGCCGGUCUGCCAGGCCCCCCCAGACGAACGCCCCCACCAUCAUGCCCAGGUACACGAUCAGUCCUGGGGAGGGGGAGAACGGGGCGGGGGAGGGGGUCAGAGGGGCCCCCUCCCUCCCAACGCUUCCCCGGCCCUUCCGCGGCUCCGGAGACGGCAGCGGGCGGGAGCGAGGUUAGACCUGGAGAGGGGCCGGGCCCGCGGGGCACGGAAAGGGGGUGGAGCCAGACCUCCUCUAGGGAGCCCCCUCCCCUCGCUGCCCGGGAGAGUGCAGAGUUUUGGGGGGGGGCCGGCUACCCCAGCUGGAGGACACCCCCCCCCCCCCAAGACUUUCAGCUCGUUGCAGGCAGGGAAUGUGGCGGUUUAACUGUUGUGUUGAUUCUCCCGAGCGUUUAGUCCGGGGCUCCGCACCCAGUGCGGCGCUCAGUGGGUGCGGCCCAACGAACGACCCGGAUGAGGUGACCGAGGCCCAGGGAGGUCAAGCGACUCGCCCCGAAUCGCACGGCCGAUAAGCGGCGGGGCCGGGAUUAGAACCCACGACCAGCUGACUCCCGAGCCCGUGAUCAGAGAGCAGCGUGGCCGCGGUGGGUAGAGCCCGGCCCGGGAGUCAGAAGGACCCGCUUCCCUGACGGCGGUCCCCAGGUUGUCCCCUGUGAGACCUCGGGCCAGCCGCUUCACUUCUCUGGGCCUCGGUUUCCUCACCUGCGCGACGGGGACCAAGACGGCGCGCACCGCGCCCCCCGCCCCCCCCCCAGCUGGGACACGGACUGGGGUCCGACCCAAUCACCGCGCAUCUACCCGCAAGCGCUCGGUAAAGAACCCGCAGCUACGCAAAAGAUUUCUGGGAAACUCCUCCGUGCCUCAGUCCGUCAGGCAGUGGUAUUUAUUGAGCGCUUGCUGUGGGCCGAGCACUGGGCUAAGCACUCGGGAGAGCCACGAAAGAAAAUAAACAGCCACGUUCCCCGCCUCCGUGAGCUUAAAGUCUGGGGGGGCCGCCUAGCACGUGCAGAUCGCUGUACUGAGCGCUCGGGAGGGUCCAAAACAAUAAAGCAGACACAUUCCCUGCCCAUCCCGAGUCUAGAGGGGGAGCAUUUACCCAGCGCUUAGAACGGUGCUCGGCAUAUAGUAAGCGCCUAACAAAUACAACGUUGUUAGUAAUGACGACAGUGUCGGUAUUUG
rnacentral:lncRNA from 1 species